AUGUAUUUAUUUGUACAUGCUUUUGCAGUACUCAUGAUGCCCUCAGAAUUAUUUAAAAGGAUGCAUCCUUUGGUGUCUGUUCAUACUUAUUAUAUGAGCUAUGUUUUACCAUCGAGUAGAUCUCUUAUUACCAUGAUAUUGUCUGAUUUUUACAUGGAUACAGAAGUGUAUCUUAACGUUGUAUGCAGAGCUGGGUCGACAUAUGAAGACGCGGGAGCUAAAGCAAAUAGACUGCAAGGUUAUCAGGAUACUAGAGAAAUGGGUUAUGCUUUAGUCCUUGUAAAUGGCACUGGUUUUUCUGGUGCAAGUAAAGCCUGA
rnacentral:rRNA from 1 species